CAUCCAGCCUGGCCUUGAACACUUCCAGGGAUAUCCCAAAGUUUCUUUACAGGAGGACAGAUUGAUCCAGCUGCAUCAUUGGGAUUUGGAGGUGCAAGACAAGAUCCCUGGCUCUUUAUGAACCAGCUGGAUGCCCCAUCGUGUGUUACUGGGAGUUUCCAUCCUCCUUUUCUCCUGAAAUGAAAAACCCUCCAAAUAUUCAGGAUGAAAGCCAAUAAAUUAGUCAUCUAUUCUUA